rnacentral:rRNA from 1 species
UACGAAGGGGGCUAGCGUUGUUCGGAAUUACUGGGCGUAAAGGGCGCGUAGGCGGCCAUUCAAGUUAGGUGUGAAAGCCCUGGGCUCAACCUAGGAAUUGCACUUGAUACUGUUUGGCUUGAGUUCGGGAGAGGUGAGUGGAAUUCCCAGUGUAGAGGUGAAAUUCGUAGAUAUUCGCAAGAACACCAGUGGCGAAGGCGGCUCACUGGCCCGAUACUGACGCUGAGGCACGAAAGCGUGGGGAGCAAACAGGG